rnacentral:rRNA from 1 species
GUCUUUUUGUUUAUAAUUUAAAGUCUAACCUGCCCACUGAAUUUUUAAAGGCCGCGGUAUUUUGACCGUGCGAAGGUAGCAUAAUAAUUAGUUUUUUAAUUGAAAGCUGGAAUGAAUGGUUGCACGAGGGGGUAACUGUCUCUAUAUUAUUAAAUUAGAAUUUUAUUUUUGAGUCAAAAAGCUUAAAUAUAUUUAAAAGACGAGAAGACCCUAUAGAUUUUUAUAAUUUUUUUUUUUAAAGGAGUUUAGAGUGUUUAAAUUUUAAUUGAAAAUUUUAUUUUGUUGGGGUGAUGGAAAAAUUUGAUAAACUUUUUUUUUAUUUUAACAUUGAUUUAUGAUUUAAUGAUCCAUAUUUUAUGAUUAUAAGAUUAAAUUACCUUAGGGAUAACAGCGUAAUUUUUUCUGAGAGUUCUUAUCGAAGAAGAAGAUUGCGACCUCGAUGUUGGAUUAAAAUUUAUAUUUGGUGUAGGGGCUAAAUAAUUAGGUCUGUUCGACCUUUAAAAUUUU